GGCGGAGCCUGUGCGGAGAGAGGCCGGGCCGAGGGGACGCGAAUCAGCGGCUAACAACGGAGCUGCGUUUUUUCGCAUUCCAUUCCUAUCGCACUACGCACCUAGAUGCCGCCUCAUUACACACACCGGACCAACGGGUUUUUGCGCAACCAAGGAUUUUCGGAAGAGACUGCAGAGACAAACAUGGCGUACUCGCCGACACGGAGAAUAUCGGGGUACGCCACGGAUACCACCGACGAUGCCAUCUGCCCGAUUUUUCACGUGCGGUACCUGGGCCGCGGGCCGGUGGCGGCCGCAGGACGGGACUACGUGUCGCCGAUCGUGAAUUCACUGUUCCGACAAGCCGCCAGGAAACAUCUGCCAAAGACGACACUGUUUAUCUCCGCCCAGGGCAUCAGGGUGGGUCAACCCCGGGGAGGAAGGGGCGUCCUCCCCGUCAGUUUUGUGCCCAUACACGACUGUCUGUACGGAGCGGCCGACAGGAUACACAAGGAGGUGUUUUCUAUCGUUGUCAAAGGGACGGGUCGGGGAAACCCUUUCGAGUGUAUGUCGUUUGUGUGCCAUAAGUCUGCCCAUUCUACCGCGCUAGCGCUCUGGUUAAACAAGGCCUUUAAGGAGGCGUACGAAGUGUGGCAAACGCAGACUGUGAGGCCAGCGGAGCCCAGAGUAUUCGAGAGAAACGUCCGACGGAACCCGUCCUUCCAACAUCAGCAGCCCAGGCCUGUGGAGGAUCAAUACGCGGCGUACAGCUCCGUGGAUAGGGGCCAACGUAGGUAUCAGAGGAGCAAUUCCGAGUCUGUGUACGUUAAUGGCGACUACAGUAGCGAACCUUUGGGGACGGGUUGUAUCGAGGGAGCAACCAUCGGUACUCUGCUACACCCGGGUACCCGCAGCAGAAAAGGAAAGACUCCGAAAAGGAAGGGUCUGGCUUUGGUAGUUUCUUCCGAAGAUCGAAAAGGGGGUCGGAGAGGGGGUCGCGAGAGGUGGUGUACACGCCGCCGGACCAGGACAGCACCAAGAGCUCUCCCAGGAGAAGCUCGUUUUCACUGCCCGACAAAGCUCCGUGGAAGAAGCGGGAAAAGAGAGACGAGAAGGACAAAAAGAAGAAGGAGAAGAAGAAACAGGAGGACUUGUAUACGCCGCGAGGUGAGCGUUUUGUGUACAGAAAUCCGGAACUAAGUUAUAGUGUGGAGACCCUUGAUGACGUCAGCAUACAGUCAGAAGACAGAGGGCGAUCCGGCCGGAGAUAUCUUAGAAAACAGCGAACUCAGAGUGAGGAGAGAGAGUUAAAACCUCCAUCUCCCGCGCCGAAACGCCCCUUGUCUCAGCUGCUACAGCCCACCCCGUUCACUGUAGCACUGGAGAAAAAGGCUUCGCCUGAACCAACUAAGAAGGAAGCUCAAAUCCCCAAGAAACGGACGUCGACAGAGAAAAGUCUGUCCGACGAGCGGAGACAACCGCCGAAAAAACCGAGCCCCCAGCCAACAUUGGAGACACAUCCAGUCCCUGCCCCUCCCCCUCCCCUGCCACCAGCCCCGGAGAGACGGGAGGAGCCCAAACCACAGCAAAACGGUGAGAUCGACUUUUCUGGGAUCGUAGAUACGGACGCUUUCAUCGAUGACGUCUUCGAUGGCAUAGAUUAUGACAUCUUCAGCGACGACGACCAAAAAAAGAAACAAGAACGCGACAGUUCUGAAGAGAACGCGUCCGAGAAAGCCCGCGACGCCUCGAAUAAGGAAAACUGGCCCGAUUUUUCGACGGCCUACAUCAGCCCGACGUCGGGGCGAGGGAGUCAGGACGUGCCGAGGUGGACAAACAUUUUCGGUAAGACCCCUCCCCCGGGCAUGUCCCCGGAGUCCGGGGCGAAGUUCUCGCAGUAUCAGCCCAAAGCCCUUCGCGACGCCGAUACCGACAUUUCCCGAUUAGACGCCCAAAGAGCCCGACAGCAGCCAACAGGGUCCGACAGAAAACGACACGAUUCCGAGGACGAUGGAUACACCUCCAUCGUGGUGAAGGAGAACGAGGCACCCAUAAGGUAUUCUCAAGCGCUGAACGACUAUGAACAAAGCUCGCGUAGCAAACCCAACGGUGUCAUCAACAACCACCACGACUCCAAAGGAUCCGGGGACGUUAAGAACUUGUACAACCUGGUAGGCUCUAAAUCCUUCUGGGAAACAAGGGUAGACAUGGGGAAAAGUAUGCUGUACUGAAUAUAUAUAAAAACAAACUGUACACCCGCCAUAUUUGUACAUGAAGUUUCAUGUCAUCAAACCAUUACCUCAUUGUUGAAUAUAUGGGAAAAAUAUCUAUCUUACACUUACAUAUCAUAUGUAUAAUUUUUGUAAUAAUUUUCAGUCUGGACUUUGGGUGACUUGUAGAUAUGUAAUAUUAUUUGGCGGCAUUUUAAACAGAUCGUUUGCAGAGGUAUAUAUGGCCCAAUAUUUCUUGGCGCUAUGUCAAAACUGGUGGCUUAUAUAGUGUCGUUAAUUAUGCAUGUACUUUUGGUGUCAUUCGAGAUGAUGUCUCAGACCGGGAGAAUUCGGUGUUGGGUCUCAACUGGUCACUGAAAAAACGUCAUUAUAGCCAUGACUGUACGAAUGUUUUGUUCGGAUCCAGGGUGGAGCUUGCUUGUGCGAUUGUGAAUGUAACUGGGUUAUCAGGUAACGCCCUAACCUUUGACCUGUAAUGGUUAGCUUGUAUCUUCUAUGCUCCAUUGGCCAGUACUAUAGUUGUCAAAUCCUUAUCAACGUGUUUUCUUUUGCCUUUUGUUAAUGCUUAAAUUCUAGAUACUUGCAUUUAUGCUGGUGGCUUUGUUUUCAUUGAUGAAACCCAGGAGGCGAAUCUUUAGUUACACCCCAAUUGUCUUAAUUCAUCUAAUGAUAAGUUGCAUAAUGAGUUCAUGCCUGCUAUUCAUAAUUGCCUUCUGUAAUAUCUAUAGGCAAGCCUGCACUGCGAGACCGAAUGUGCUACCAGUUAACCCCUUUACUACUAAGUUAACGCAUUUUGUGACCGAUUAACCCACAUGUUGUAAGCAGAACUAGGUUACCUCAGACCAGCGUCUGACAAUGUUGUACAUACUGUAAGCGUGCGACCCAUCAUGAAGGGCUUCCCACUUUAUUUGUUUAUGUUUUUAUAAAAAAUUAUCUGAUGCUGUUUAGCGACACAUACAACUUUGAGUCGGUUGUAUUCUGUGUACCAUACGGGAGAGAGUGAGAGAUAAACGUUCUACAUUUUCAUUAAAGUUGACUUAACUUGUC